rnacentral:tRNA from 1 species
AUUUAAUUAGUUUAAAAAUGAAUAUUGAUUUGUGGAGUCAAAGGAGAAAGGUUUUCAUUAAAUA